GUCCAGUGACUUAGGUCUGUUCCUGAAGCAACAUCUGCCCCACACCACUCUUUGCCAAGGCGGGUUUGGUAUGGGAGUGAGCUCAAAGCUUCUUACUCAGGAUGAAGUCGAGCUCCUCACCCUGGCAAAGUCCUCCAUCCAGGCAAGUCACCUAAAGGAACUCAUGAUGAAUCAAUAAUAUUAACACUAUUCCUGCAAAGCCAGAGGCUGGAGAUUUGCAUUUUGAAAAUAACAAAGGAUAAGGGAGGACCCAUUUAAAAAUUUUUUGUUGGCAGUCUGAAAUGUCUAGCCCUACCACUAACUGAAUUAACAGACAAAAUGAACUCCAAACAGCUGAACUGCUGGUACAAAGGAAGGAAAUUAUAAAUACCCACUGUGAAGGGAUCCCUCGGUGGCUCAGUGGUUUAGCCCGUGCCUUUGGCCCCAGGGCGUGAUCUUGGAGUCCCGGGAUCAAGUCCCACAUCAG